GGCUGGUCUUUAUAGCUCUAAGGCCUCUAACCUACGUGUUAAUGUUGCUAUUUUGGCCUCUGCAGCUAGAGAAGUUUGAAUUUGAUGCAUUCCUCUUGAAGGUGUUAGUUUCUCAGGUUCCCUAGUUGUUUUCCAUUAUAAAUUUUUCUCAGCUAGGUCUUCUAGAAAUUGCCAAGCUUCAGUGGAUUCUUUGUACAUGAAUUGACCUUGGCACAUGGACUCUAGCAUAGUUC
rnacentral:lncRNA from 1 species